AUACGUAGGUGGCAAGCGUUAUCCGGAUUUACUGGGUGUAAAGGGCGUGUAGGCGGGAAAGCAAGUCAGGCGUGAAAACUAUGGGCUCAACCCAUAGCCUGCGUUUGAAACUGUUUUCUUGAGUGUCGGAGAGGUAAUCGGAAUUCCGUGUGUAGCGGUGAAAUGCGUAGAUAUACGGAGGAACACCAGUGGCGAAGGCGGAUUACUGGACUGUAACUGACACUGAGGCACGAAAGCGUGGGUAGC
rnacentral:rRNA from 1 species